rfam:Agrilus planipennis Contig10109, whole genome shotgun sequence.
CAUUUCGUAGCUUAGUGGUCAGAGCAUUGGUGGUAAAGCCAAAGGUCCUGGGUUCGAUUCCCGGCGGGGGGU